UCCUAAAACAAAUGACGAAAGAGUAACAGAAGUUACACUAUCACUGUUAACUCUAAAAAUACCAAAGAGCUCACACAGGUUAUCACAACCACAGUCAAUUCUGAAAAAUAAAUAGCAAAGAGCUAACGGUGGUUAUAAGCAAAAGGCUUUUUUUAUUCCAUUGGAGGAGAGAAGCUAUACACAAGUGCAACGGCUUCCUCUAGGAAGAGACCCACUUUAUCAAAGCCAAACUUUGACACGUAGAGCAGUGGCUACUCAGUGAGCUAUAGCUGUGACAAUGAGAGGUAACAGCAACAAUGAGAGAAGUCUGAUUCAUAGAGGGCUUCAUGACCAAAACAUGGUCCCUGCAGGUAUUUGUCCAAGCUCAGGGACCACCUGUGGCUGGUGUGGAAACAAUUCUGGGAUUUUGCUGCAGCAGAGAUCAUCCAAAGGGGUGGCUUCAACUAAGCUGGCUUGCCUAUCCUGUGGUUGGUAGCUGCUGGGAUGCUUGGCUCCUUCUCAUCAGGGGUUAAUUUCCUGGAUAAUGGCUACAGAGGCUAGAAUGGAGGCAGGCCAGUGGUGACAGGGAUGUUAUAUCUAGAGCUCUUGGUCUUAUCUGCCUAUCAAUGACAUUUGGCAAGGAGUAGCAGCAGUGUCAGGAGUAUCAGCUGCUGGAACGAAAAGAAGAAAGGGAGAAGAGGAUAUAUAGGGGGUUUGGACUUAAGCAAACUUCCCAUGGAGCAGGGCAUGCACACUGGCCUCAUCUAUUGAGAGAUAAACGCUUCUGACCCCUGCCCAAAGGACAUGUCUGACCAGCGGCUUCUUGUUGUGUCCCUGCAUGGUCCUGUGUCUCAGGGUUGUGUCGAAAGUGAUUGGCAAUUGAGCUAAGAAAGACUGUCAUCCCCCCUGCCCCAGAGGUUAGAAAAACUAGAAAAGCUGCCUACUUCUCCUUUAGGUCUUGCCUGGCUUGGAACACAGCUCUCCCUUUGAUUUACAGGAAGAUUCCUCUCAUCACUACCUCCUUCCAACUGAUAACUAUGAGCAAAUGGGAAAGAGAAUAUGUACCUACCUUGAUAAGCCCAAGACUGGACUUCAAGUCCUCAGAGGAUAGUUUCUUCUUUAUGGUUUUUACCCUAAGCAUGUAGGACCAAACAACAAUCCUGAGAGAUGAUUUUCUUAGACUUGAGGUUCCUCGAUAACUAUCUUGUGAACUUGAGAUGUCUAGGGUUUUUGAGUUGGUGCCAGGUUCCCAAUUGGAGGCACUUUGCAUAACCAUAAAACUUUUUGGAGGAAAAGACAAACAAUUGCCGGGGGAAAACACCAUGGGGGUACUGUAAAUGAAAGGACUAAAAUACUCUUUUUUUUUUUUUUGCUGAGGCAAUUAGGGUUAAGUGACUUGCCCAGAGUCACACAGCUAAGGACUAAAAAAUCUUAAGUCAUGCCCUGGCUGGAAGAUUGGUGUUUCUGGUGCAGUCAGUGUAGGUCAAGGUCUGUUUCAUCGACCCACAAAGUAUCUUUACCUUUUGAGAGAAUAAAAUAAGGGAUGGAUUAUUGUUUCAAGUACUUGUUCAUUCAUGAAUAUUCUGUGUUUUAAGCAUUUCUUUGGUGGUAGAAGAAAUUAAUAGCUAUCCCAUACUUGACAUCUACUUUCUAUACUGAUUAUCUUUUCUCAAAGGCACUUUGGGGAAGGCCCUAGAUAGGUGUCAUAAAGGGCAGCAAGAUGUCACAGUAGAUAGAGUGCUGAGAGUCAGGAA